CGGGAAGGAGGAACGCUCGGGUCCCCGACACGAGUGGGCGCCGCUCACCCGAGUCGCUGCUGGUCGUGGGCGGCGUGUCGACCCCCAGCAGAGCCGCGGGGUUGGCGCCGGGCGGGGCGGCCCGCGGGGCGCGCUCGCUGAGCGGGUAGGGGAAGACCACCGAGGGGUCGAUGCAGUCGGCGGCCGCGGCUCCCAGGUCGUGCAGCUUGGCGGCGGCGGAGAAGCCGCUCCACAUGCAGUCCUGGAUGAUGAUGGAUUUGACGAAGGAUUCGUCGUCCGGGUCGCAGAUGAAGCUCUGGUUGACCAUGUCCCCCCCGAGCAGCUCCGUCACCAUCUCCAGCUGGUCGGCGGUGGAAGGGAAGCAGGAGGCGGCGGCCAGGCUGGAGCGGCGGCUGGGCGAGAGGGGCGGCGUGGGCAGGAGCUCAAACUUCUUCCAGAUGUCCUCGGACGGGGCGGGAGGCUGCAGCUCGCUGCCCCGCUGCUGCGCCGCCAGGUAGAAGUUCUCCUCCUCCUCCUCGAAGUAGAAGUAGGGCUGCACCGAGUCGUAGUCGUAAUCGUAGUUCUUGCUGGGGAGGCUGGCGCUGAGCGGCAUCGCGGCGGCUGCUGCCUGCGGGCGGGAGGGGGACACGGGGGGGCCGGGUGAGCCGCGCUCGGGGCCGCGAGGCUCCGCUCCCCCCGGCCCCUAUAGCGGGGGAGAUCGACCCUCGGCACGCAGCGCUCCCUCCCGGCACCCCGCGCCGUCAGAUUGAUUUAUAUAUAUAUAUAUAUAUAUAAACUAAUAAUAAUAAUAAAAUAAUAAUAAUAAUAAAAAGCACGACCCCUCGUGAGCCCCCCGCCUCACCCCCUCCC
rnacentral:lncRNA from 1 species